AGCGAGGCGUUUUUUUUUUUCAGCCACCAACUUUCUGAAAACGCAUCGUAAGGACUGGAAAGGAUGCGAGUUGCUGCUCCUCAGCCUGCAAGCAUCUGGUAAUAUACUGGUAUAUAAUUAUAAUGACAAGACGUGGUUACGCUUGGGCACCAGCCUGCGCUGCCUGAAAUUGAUGGAGUUCAGGACAGAUUUGACAAUCAAGAGAAUAAUAAUCAACUUUACCACGGAGGAGCCGUCAAUCCUGAAACACCUCGAGACGAGACACGGCCACGUGCUAGAAAACAAGCCUGCUGAUGCAGUGUUUCUAAGGGAGAACAAAAAAUAAACAUACGCUGACCGAAGGAGAGUUCAAAACGGAGUCCGCCCGACCGCCGAGCAGGAGCUACGCAAGUGUUGGGACCACUUGAAGAGAGAAAUGGCGCAGGUGGACAGCCACCGACCCAAAGGAAGUGCCCUGGACCCGAAAUAAUCAAUCUUUUUAUGGAGGAAGAGCGUUAAAUUUUGAUUCAGCUCAUGACGAGACACAGAAACGUGCUAGAAAACAGCCAUACUAACGCCGCGUUCCUAAGUGAGGAGAACGGGAAAUUGAAGCAGAAGGCGAGUAGCAGCUACGAGGAGCAGCUAGACAAGUAUUGGGACAACUUGAAAGAGAAGUGGGGCACAGCCACGGACUCAAAGGAGCUGAUCCGAACCGGGGGGCAGCAAAGUAGCAGAUUCCGUCCUCACAGAAGAGCUGCAGUCAGUGGGCACCAUGGCAUCGCAUAUGUGAUUAUGAAUUGACAACCCUUUUGAUAGCGGCCAUGCGCGACACAACGUCGCUACGAGCGUUGACACAGCAGGCGUUGCUGCACUAUUGUCAUCCAUGCAACCAGUGGCGAUCCUUGAAGGCGAUGCCAAAAUAAUAAGCGUGUUGUCUUGAUACGUGAACGGCAUGUUGUUUCAGUUGUCCUCUACGUAGGGCUUCAAAAGAAUUACUGGUUGUGUAGAAACAUGCUUUUUUUAGGUAAUAACGGGACUGCGUAAGAUACAGGAAGAAUGUUUUGGAUUCGACACAGCCAGCCCGUUCGUCAUGUUAACUAAUUAGUAGAAUUCCUAAACCUGAAGAAGGUUACGUACGUCUGUUAUGUGAAGUGCUGUUAUGGUGGUGCCGAGUCAAGGGAGAUUUAAAUAUCGCUAAGAGCCAAGCGCUUAUUCUUUCAGCUAUCGAUUUUGUGAAAGCGCACCGUAACUACAUUAAUUGAUGUGAGUUGCUGCUCAUCAGCUUGCAUAGAUUUGCUAAUUGACUGGUAGGUCAUUAUAACGGCAAGAGGUGCUCACGUUCGGGCACCAGCCGGCGCUCCGUGAAAUUAAAAGAGGUUAAGGAUACAUUUGAUAAUUAAGGUACGUAAUGGCAAAAGAAGUGAAAAAAUUGUGCCGAUGUGAGAAUACCAUGAUGGUAUUGUUAGCUCUCUGUGUCAAUACUCAGUUUUACAGGCUGUACGUGAAAAAUUAUCUCGUAAUGGCAUGAAAUAGGUGUAUGCUUUAUACGCGGCAAUGGUACAUUAUUUUGCCGCCAUUGAUGUAAGAGACCAUCUCGCCAACCAGGAUGACCCUAUCUCGGAGCUGGAAGGACUGAGCCCCUUCAGCGAUGACACGUCUUGAGCGCAAGCGCAAUGCUUACGUGAACCGGAAGCUUCUCAAGCUCCACAAGUGCCUAUGAGCCAGCAAUGCGAGACCAGCCCCACACGUCCACCUCCUCUAAUUGUUCGGAAACGUAGCGGAAUGGCAAGAACUUCAAAGCUCGAAAAAAAAAUUUCCUAAAGCGCUGGAAGCUCUAUCACCACAAAACGCUAACUGGCGAAUGGAGCGCCUGCUGCCUAUGCGAAUUAUGAGUGCUUAUAGAAAAGAAUGGAACGUCAUCAACGCGCGAAAACUUAAGUACAAUGAAGCGAACGCAGUCCAUGUGAAUUUGAAUAUAUGCUGCUGCUCAAAAAACUGUUGGAAUAAAAGUUCUUUUUCUUCAGAAGCAGUGUAGUUUAUGUGUU